GUCGGCCAUGACGGCCUGACAGUGAGUCAGCGUGAACACAAGGAGCGAUCAUUAACCUGAUUAUUUUUAUUAUUAUUCACACCUGUGUGUCUCCUACUGUGACAUGUCAACAUGUCUUCAGUGUAAAAGGCUGUUUAUCAGGGCACAUGGUGGAUAACAACUACGAUCUGAGGCUGAGAAGCUGCAGACUCGCUCUCGACGCCACUGAGCACUUAAUUCGUCGUACAGUUAAAAAAAUAUAAAGAAUAUAAAAGAAGACAAGAUCGGACGGUGGAAAUAGUUCAAGGGAAAACUUCAAUUGGAGUUUUUUAAUUCCUCUCCUGCCUGCUCGAAAAUGAACCUCUCAUCUGUGUUCCUGCAGUAGAACUGCACUUCUGCUGCCACUUUGAAUGUCACCCUGCGCUCCAAAUGUCAGCUUAUCAAAAUUCGUAUUUCCUUUACUUUUAAUAAAAAAAAGAAUAUGUA